GCGCCAGCCGCCGCGGUAAUACCGGCAGCCCGAGUGAUGGCCGAUCUUAUUGGGCCUAAAGCGUCCGUAGCUGGCCGCACAAGUCCAUCGGAAAAUCCACCCGCCCAACGGGUGGGCGUCCAGCGGAAACUGUGUGGCUUGGGACCGGAAGGCGCGACGGGUACGUCCGGGGUAGGAGUGAGAUCCCGUAAUCCUGGACGGACCGCCGAUGGCGAAAGCACGUCGCGAGGACGGAUCCGACAGUGAGGGACGAAAGCUAGGGUCUCGAACCGGAUUAGAAACCCUUGUAGUCC
rnacentral:rRNA from 1 species